GAAUUCGCCCUUAGAGUUUGAUCCUGGCUCAGGACGAACGCUGGCGGCGCGCCUAACACAUGCAAGUCGAACGAGCGAGAGAGAGCUUGCUUUCUCGAGCGAGUGGCGAACGGGUGAGUAACGCGUGAGGAACCUGCCUCAAAGAGGGGGACAACAGUUGGAAACGACUGCUAAUACCGCAUAAGCCCACAGGUCGGCAUCGACCAGAGGGAAAAGGAGCAAUCCGCUUUGAGAUGGCCUCGCGUCCGAUUAGCUAGUUGGUGAGGUAACGGCCCACCAAGGCAACGAUCGGUAGCCGGACUGAGAGGUUGAACGGCCACAUUGGGACUGAGACACGGCCCAGACUCCUACGGGAGGCAGUAGUGGGGAAUAUUGCACAAUGGGGGAAACCCUGAUGCAGCGACGCCGCGUGGAGGAAGAAGGUCUUCGGAUUGUAAACUCCUGUUGUUGAGGAAGAUAAUGACGGUACUCAACAAGGAAGUGACGGCUAACUACGUGCCAGCAGCCGCGGUAAAACGUAGGUCACAAGCGUUGUCCGGAAUUACUGGGUGUAAAGGGAGCGCAGGCGGGAAGACAAGUUGGAAGUGAAAUCUAUGGGCUCAACCCAUAAACUGCUUUCAAAACUGUUUUUCUUGAGUAGUGCAGAGGUAGGCGGAAUUCCCGGUGUAGCGGUGGAAUGCGUAGAUAUCGGGAGGAACACCAGUGGCGAAGGCGGCCUACUGGGCACCAACUGACGCUGAGGCUCGAAAGUGUGGGUAGCAAACAGGAUUAGAUACCCUGGUAGUCCACACCGUAAACGAUGAUUACU
rnacentral:rRNA from 1 species